UGGCACCAUAUUUUUGUUGACUAAAGAAACAACUGCUCCUGUGUCAAUUAACAAGGUUGCGUCUCGCAUGAAAACUUUUCCUUUUAUUUUAAUUCCUUGCACAUUAUCAGGAAUAAUAGAAUUAAUUUUUAUUGUAUCAUUAAAAUCUAAAUUAUCUACACAAUCACUAUGGAAAUGUUGAACAUCAGUCCUAUUCAAAAACGAGGGAUUUUUAUUUACACAAGUGGCCGCCUUCCCCUCUAUGAAGGA
rnacentral:lncRNA from 1 species